GGCGCAUGGCUUCCGGGACGGAAAGGAGAGCGGAGAGAGCUGAGAACGGCUACUACAUCUACGGAAGGCAGCAGGCGCGUAAAUCACUUCAACUAUUAUCAGGGAGGUGGUGACGGGAUUUAACAACGCACUUUCAUUGUGAUUGUAGUGAGGGUAUUCCAACCGAACCACUAGUACGAUUAGAGGGCAAGUCUGGUGCCAGCAGCCGCGGUAAUUCCAGCUCUAAUAGCGUAUAUUAAAGUUGCUUGCAGUUAAAAAGCUCGUAGUUGGAUUCAAGGAUUGGGGUCUCUCUCAAAAAACGUCCUUACUAGUCUUUUGACUUGUUACUGUGAGAAAAUCAGAGUGUCUAAAGCAGGCUACUGCCAGAAUACAUCUAGCAUGGGAAUACCGAAUUGUAUCUAGAACCCGGGGAAAUCA
rnacentral:rRNA from 1 species